AAAUAUUUAAACUCAAUAAAAUGUGUAAAGUAGUAAUCUUUGCUUUUUUGAUGGCAAUGGUGGUUGCUGCGAUGUCUCUUCCAGUCACAGUUCCUGAGAGCGAAGUCCUUCAAGAAGAUGGAUUAGUGCUACAAGACGAGAUCCCUCAAGAAGAUGGUUCAGUUCAACCCCGAUUGACUUGCCAACUCGGAGGCAACGCUCUCUGCACCACACACUGCUUGAUGCUAGGCUACAAGCGCGGCGUCUGUGGUAGAGACAAAGUCUGUCGCUGCUAUAGGAGUUAAAUUUUAUAAUCUCAUCAUUAUCAUCAUUGAUAUUCAUUUAUUAUAAGAACAUGUUUCACCACUUGCAAAUUAUGAGACUUUAUUGUCAUGUUUCUUUUAUGUCACUAUCCUAUUUCCUUUCUGUAUUCAACUUCAUCUUCAACAUUUUCAUCUUCUGAUAUUUGUGUUGUAAUUAGUUUAAGUCUCCAAGCGAUCAAUAAAGCUUAAUUCAUUAAAAUUUUCUUUAGUAAUUUUGAACUACCUC
rnacentral:misc_RNA from 1 species